rnacentral:lncRNA from 1 species
CUUAUCUCUAGCAACCAACUUCAUUUGUAAGAUGUCAAUUACAGGACUGAUUUUUCUGGGAGACUUAGAAUCAUUAGAUAAUGACCAUGAGCCAAAGAUUCACUUUUGAGUUUGGUACGCACUGCUUGAAGGCUGGGUAUGACUAUAUGAUUGUUUUUUUUUUUUUUUCUCUCCCAGUUUGAACACAUUAAUUGGCAGAAGUUUCCCCUGUGAUCUUCCAGUACAACAUUCUUCCUGCAGCCACACCUGACCAGUGGGAGGACUGACUAAAUUCUUCAUCCUCUCCAUCCCAUGCCUUUACGUCUGCUGUGUCUCCCACGUGUUCGUGGAUCGUGCCUGAGGCUGGGACAGACAACUCACAACCAUGAAGAAAAGGCAAAGAGAAUCACAAAGAUGCCAGCCCAACGCUGGGAAGCUACUAGCCUACACCAAUGCUAACAACCAUCCAUUUAUGACUUCUUGUCAUGUGAGGAGAAUGAACCUUCUGUGUUUGGAAAAACGAAGGCUCAGAGACCCUGGAUCACCCAGUGAGUAAGCAGCAUGCCCAGGUCUAGCAUACCAUUCUCCUGCUUUCAGCUCUUGUAUGCUAUCCACAUGCUUACAGCAUGCUUGGACAAUGCAGAAACUCAGCUUUGGUACUUUGGGUAAUCUGUUCAUCUGUGAAAUGGGAUAACUCAUGCUGAUCUACGGACAAAAAUAACUGUAAGGAUGACAUGAAAUGAUGCAGAUAGCAGGCACUCAAAAAACAGAGCUCUAUCAACAUUCCUGCUUCCUCUCAAUGACUGGCACUGAACCGUCCUUAACACCCCAUUUCUAAGCCAAGAGAUUCUUCAAGACCAAGCCAAGUCUGCCGUGCCACUGUCCCCCGCAGGAGCCUCUGGCUUCAUCAAGCCCACAGAUCCACAGUUGCUUUGUUCGCCGAGUGACAUUUCUAUCAGGCACCACCUUGGGCUGGUCACAGAAACUUCGUAGGAGCCAUCAGUCCUGGAGCUCAGUACCCCAGGGUUGAUGCCUUGACAACUGUGUCACCACUCUCUUAUUACCUAUCUGGAGGGUCACCUUUCUGACAGACAGCUUUGAAAAUUCUUUAUUAAACUUUUUUUUUUUUUUAGUAGAAAAGACAGAUUAUAGUUCUGACAUGCUCUACUUAUUAUGACAUGAAACAAUGUUCUUAUUUCUUUUGCUUGGGGAUGUUGAACUGCUGGCUUUGGCCCAUGUGGGGUGUCACAAUGAUGUAUUAGUUAUUAGGUCAGACUUUCCGUAACCUUUACGUAUUCAUUUAUUCACUCACUCACUCACUUACUCACUCACUCACCUAUACAUUUGAAAGUCUACUGUGAACCGGGUCUAACAGAGGUUAGACAUUUAGUGGAUUACACAAAAAAAACAAAACAUUUACCCUCAGUCUUUGAUCUGAGGAUGUCCCAGUUUAAUAGGCAAUGCAAGGGGGCAAAAAAGAUAAAAUUUUACCGCCGUGGUAAGUGAAAUAAAAGACCUAUGUGUUGUACUUGGUAACAUAACUUUGGCAGGAUGGAAACCAGAAUUGGUAGUGUAUCUGUAGAGUGGGGUGCCUGGUUCACUCUGGAUGAUGACAGGUGGUACAGCAGCAGAGGCUGAAGACUAGAUUUUGUUGGAAUACUCUAUAAUCUGUGUAUAGGAGAAGGAAGAGGAGCUGAUCAUUCACAGUUGAAAUAAGCUGGUGACAGGUACUCCUCUCCAAAAGAAGGCCUGGGUGCCAGAUUUUGGGCUCAGAGUGACUUAAUAGUUCUGAUACACAUUUGAUAAAUAAUAUCACAAAGGCACCACUGAACAUCUGAAUAUAUGAACAGAGAGCUAUGAAAAAGGUAGUGACUAACCCUGCCAGGGGAGGUGUAGGAAGUGCCCCAGAAAAUAUGAUAUUUGAAGAGGGCAUUAAGCAUUCAGAGGGCAUUAAGCAUCCAUGAGAAGCGGAAGUAUGGCAUCUGAGCAGAGCAAAGGUGAAGGUGACAUGCUCUGAGAAGGAUGAGGAUUUCUUCAGAACAAAGUAUGAUUGGGGGCUGGGGUGGGAGGUGAAGCUCAGGGCACGUUGGGACCAUUUUAACACCAGGUCAUGGAGUCCAGGCUUUCUCUUCAGUAGGACUUGCUGGGCUGGUGGCUGGUUUAUGCAGAGGAGUGUUAUGAGAGACUGGAGUGCAGACAAAUCUCUCUGCGGGCGGUAUGGGUUUAUGGGAGGGUAGACUGAAAGCUCAGAGACACAAGGCAAAGAAACAGGUCAGGUGGCUACUACAACCACCCAAAAAGAGAAGCUGGGAGACCUUCCCUCAGGUUUCAAUCCAGCUAAGGCCAGUAAAACCCAUGUGUUCAUUUAGGAGACUCUUGUAUAUUUAUUAAAUAAAUAAACAAAAGAGAAAAGGCCAGGGAUCAAUGAGUUUCUUAAACAAAAAUUUAAAAGGCAAAACUAAGAUAUGUUAAAUAACACCUAGUAGAAUUUAAAGUGUACAUACUUUGUGGAAUAAAUGCAUAAAGACAUCAGAAAUAAUCAAGUAUGGAAUAAGGGUAUGGGUCUAGUGAAACAGGGCACUGAAAAAGCUGUAAACUUCCCAGGCAGAAACCUCUGCUCUCAUCCUGAGUCUGUUUUCAUUUAUGUAUCAUGUGAUAUCAUGUAUCAUGUGCAAUACAUGUGAUUAGUAAUUUGACUCACCCCCUCAGUAAAAGUCACAGUUCCUGUUUACCGAGCACCUGCUAGGCUUAAUCAUGCACAAUGCUCAGGAUACCACCUAUAUUAUCUCAGCCAAUCUGAACAACAAUGGCAAAGCAGGCUUUAUCAGGCCUGAGGUUCAGAGAGUUUAGGGAUUUACCCAAGGUUGCGGAGCAGUCAGCAGAAUUGAGAUUUGACCCUGAUCUAUCCAGCUGUGGAAAGAUUCUCUGCGACGGUACAUCCUCUGCGAUGGUGCGCCCUAGGCAGUAGAAACCACAGAAGAAAGCCAGAAAACCAGCCAGAUAGAUGGCUGCUGAAACAAUUCAAGAGAGACAUGAUGAUCUACUAUAAUGGCGGUGGAGAACAGAUAGAAGUUACUGUGAAGAUGAAAGGAGAUGAUGUGUGUAACACUCACAGACUGGGACCCAGGAUGUAUGCAUCAGAUUUUAGGGAAACAUUGGUCUUCUUUCUCACCAUGGUUCAAGGUCUUGGGAUGCCUCCAAGACACGCUGACAAAAAGUCCCAUGAUUUUGUAGCUUAGUGUGUUGUGCCACAAAAAAGCCUUCAAAAUUAUUAAAAUAAGUUUUCCCAUAACAAAAUAAGGGAUCUACAACUAAAUAGAAGUAUUAAUGAUUAUUUAAUACUUCAGAAAGAAUGAAAGAGAGGAGAGAUUUUCUAUACUUGGGGUCUAUGAAAUUCCCUUCUAUCCAUUAAAAAAAUAAAGAACUUUUAAAACAAGGUUGAAUAUGUUCCUCUUCUUCAUAACCAAGGUUCUCUAAGACAGAAAUAUUAACAGCAGAAAAAAUAUUGUGUUGAGAUUAAAUUAAGAAAAAUAUACAUAUAUAUGUACUUUUUUCCCCAGUUCAAAGGACGAUAAAAAAUAAACUACAUAUAUAUACCCCACAUAGAUAUAUAAAUAGUUAGAUAAAUAUAGAGAUAUAGAUAAUCUACUUUCAUGAUUUAUAAUAAGGACACAGAAAAAGGCUGGGAUGGCAGUGGGGAAUGAGCAGAGUCUGAAUUUCUGUACUCCAGCAUAGCACUUACACUAUGAGAAACAGUAUUAGCUAGAGCUAUGUUAGUGCAAUUGUUAAAAGCUCUGUAUUUUACAUGAAAACUUGAGCCAUUGAAAAUAACAGAAUUAGCUAGAACUGGCAUCAAGCCUUAAUGCCAGAAUGUAACCAGUCCACAGAGGUAGGAAGAUGUUCUUAGGCAGGGACCCAAAAAGAGGACUGACACAUAAUAAAGGAUCAGGAUAAUACAAGGCUAAUAAAAAAGAGAAAAGGGACUGAUGCUUUGCUAUUUCUGAGUAAGGAAUUCUUCUAGAUUCUUAGUGAGAAGGAAUUAAGGUAAAGCCAAAGCGAUACGUAGUAUUUAUGCUUUGUUGUAUAUAUUAUGGUUUAUGCAGCUUUUAAAUAAACUAUAUGUAGUUCAUUCUGUCUACGAUGGUAGCAAUAAUAGCUAUUAUUUAUUGAUGUCUUAUUAUAUACUUGAUGUUCAGCGAGGUAUUACAUAUGUCCACAUCUCUUUGCUCACAUGACUCCAAGCUGGCAUAGGCCUCUUCCCUGCAUCCAUCCUUCCAAGAGCAGAAAGCGUAUACCUGCUGGUGUAUGCUCCUUCAUUUCAAGGAGUUGCAAAGGAGUCUUAUAUAUAAAAGUGUGGAUGGAGCUUGGACAUGUGGGUGGAGGUGUCCAUUGGCAUAUGAACUGAGGCCCUUUGUAGUAUGGAUGGGAAGAGACAGAAGGUGGGCUGGGGGCUGGUUCUCCUACACUGCCACAGUCCAUCAUUAAACUUUGAAGAGUCCAAUAAUUCUAAACUAGAACCAUACCAUCUGGGUUUUAAUGAAAUUUGUCAAAGGUGGUAAGGGAUAAAAAAGACUUUAUUUAACAGUUAGCUUGAUUUUUAUAACCAUGAAGUAUUUAGCCAUAGGACACACGGUCCUCUAUUUGUACCCUUUUUCGGGGACUAUAAAUUCAGAGGUAGGUUUAGCACCUAGCACAGUGUCUG